rnacentral:rRNA from 1 species
CGUCUUAGCAUGCAGUCGAGCGGCAAGGGGGAGCAAUCCUCCCUAGAGCGGCGGACUGGUGAGUAACGCGUGGGUGACCUACCUAGAGGUUGGGGAUAGCCAUUAGAAAUAGUGGGUAAUACCGAAUACGGUCGCGAUGCAGUGGCAUGGCGAGGAAAGGGGCUUCGGCCCCGCCUUAAGAUGGGCCCGCGUUCCAUUAGCUAGUUGGUGAGGUAAAGGCCCACCAAGGCGAUGAUGGGUAGCCGGCCUGAGAGGGUGAACGGCCACACUGGGACUGAGAUACGGCCCAGACUCCUACGGGAGGCAGCAGCUAAGAAUAUUCCGCAAUGGGCGAAAGCCUGACGGAGCGACGCCGCGUGGAUGAGGAAGGCCGAAAGGUUGUAAAAUCCUUUUAUUGCUGAAGAAUAAGCCUGGGAGGGAAUGCCUGGGUGAUGACGUUAGGCGAUGAAUAAGCCCCGGCUAAUUACGUGCCAGCAGCCGCGGUAACACGUAAGGGGCGAGCGUUGUUCGGAAUUAUUGGGCGUAAAGGGCGCGUAGGCGGUUACGGAAGUCUGGCGUGAAAGGCGUGGGCUUAACUCACGGACUGCGCUGGAAACUGGGUGACUUGAGUCAUGGAGGGGUAGUUGGAAUUCCUGGUGUAGGGGUGAAAUCUGUAGAUAUCAGGAAGAACACCGGUGGCGAAGGCGAACUACUAGCCAAUGACUGACGCUGAGGCGCGAAAGUGCGGGGAGCGAACAGGAUUAGAUACCCUGGUAGUCCGCACUAUAAACGAUGUGCACUAGGUGUUGGGCCGAGCGGUUCAGUGCCGGAGCGAACGUGAUAAGUGCACCGCCUGGGGAGUAUGCCCGCAAGGGUGAAACUCAAAGGAAUUGACGGGGGCCCGCACAAGCGGUGGAGCAUGUGGUUUAAUUCGAUGAUACGCGAGGAACCUUACCUGGGUUUGACAUGAGCGGAUGGCAUGAGACACGCCAGCCCGCGAGGGAGCCUUCACAGUGCUGCAUGCUGUCGUCAGCUCGUGCCGUGAGUGUGGGUAGUCCCGCACGAGCGCACCCCUACUGCAGUACAGCAGUGAGUGGGGACUCUGGCGGACUGCNGUGACAACNGAGAAN